UAACGAAUCUUCCGCAAUGCACGAAAGUGUGACGGAGCAAUGCCGCGUGUGGGAUGAAGCGGUUUUGCCGUGUAAACCACUGUCAGGACCUAGGAAGAACUGACCAGGUCCAAAGGAAGGGCCGGCUAAUCUCGUGCCAGCAGCCGCGGUAAGACGUAGGGGGCGAGCGUUGUCCGGAUUUAUUGGGCGUAAAGAGCUCGUAGGCGGUUGCGUAAGUCGGAUGUGAAAACUCAGGGCUCAACCCUGAGACGCCAUCCGAUACUGCGCUGACUUGAAUCCAGUAGGGGAGUGUGGAAUUCCUGGUGUAGCGGUGAAAUGCGCAGAUAUCAGGAGGAACACCCAUGGCGAAGGCAGCACUCUGGGCUGGUAUUGACGCUGAGGAGCGAAAGCAUGGGUAGCGAACAGGAUUAGAUACCCAGGUAGUCCCUGAGCGGGCUGGCAAGGCGCAU
rnacentral:rRNA from 1 species